rnacentral:tRNA from 1 species
AACCCUUCUUACAAAAUUAAAGAAAUGAAGUAAGGGAUUCUGUCUAUAUCUAUUCUAUCGGGGAUAAGAUCUCU